UACGGAGGGUGCAAGCGUUAAUCGGAAUUACUGGGCGUAAAGCGUGCGCAGGCGGCUUUGCAAGACAGAUGUGAAAUCCCCGGGCUCAACCUGGGAACUGCAUUUGUGACUGCAAGGCUAGAGUACGGCAGAGGGGGAUGGAAUUCCGCGUGUAGCAGUGAAAUGCGUAGAUAUGCGGAGGAACACCAAUGGCGAAGGCAAUCCCCUGGGCCUGUACUGACGCUCA
rnacentral:rRNA from 1 species